rnacentral:misc_RNA from 1 species
UUUUUUGUUAUGAUUUUAAUACAUUCUUUAACUCGUGUUUAUGAAUUGAAAAGGUCAGGAGAGGAAAAUAGGGUGCCGCGAGCAAGCUCACAUUCCCCUAGACCCUCAACUGAACCUUUAGAAAUAGUGCACAGGGUAGAAAGUGGAGGUCAGGCCCCUUUGUCGCCAACCCAGUUAAAGGAGUCAGACGAAGAGGGCACCCAAAAAUUCACUAAUGAUCCUUCCGCAGGUUCACCUACGGAAA